GCCAUGGAGGUGGGGGUGGAGGUAGGGGUGGCAGACUGAGAGAGGUUCAUGUUGAGGUCAACAGGGGUCGUGACGGAAGCGGUCUGGGUGCUGACUUUAGCCAUCUCUAAGCUGCAAACGAAGAGAGGAAGAGGAACAAACAGGGUAUUGAGUAUCCGUAGUAUAUGACUGCUGAGAAGCUUUCUUCUUUGCGAAAGUAUGUUAAAAGACCUCAUAUAGAUCCCAUUCCGUCAAAAGAAUCAUUAGACAGUAAUCAACAGAAGUGUGAGAGUUCACAGGCUUUUCUAAAGUGGAUGAUAAUAUGAGUAUUCAGAUUUUGCAGCUUUUGUCAUUCAACGUGUACCUGGAAUUGCACCAGAUUAAGCUCCUUUCCAUAUAAACCAACAGCAAACACAGCUUCUAAUGAUUCAGGCUUUACAACCCAUUAGGAAUUGAGUAAUACUAUGCGAAAUGGACACUGCAAAGCAACUUUCUGGAUCUACCCAGGACAGACAUUUGCUGGAGAGCAGACAGAGCAACCUCGCAGAAGCAUGAUCACUUACAAAGCAAACUUACCUUGCAUUAAUGAGGUACUGUGCUAAGCUGAUGUUUGCAGGGGAUCCUGUGAUUGUAACUUGUCGUUCUGCGGAGCCUUCUGUGGCAUUAGCAAUCUUGAUCUGCGCUCCUGACAUCUGCCUGAUUUCAUUUAUCUUACUGCCUUGUCUGCCAAUAAUGCAGCCUAUUAACUGGAGUGGGACAAAGACCGAGAUUAGUGCCACAGACACAAGCAAAAACCACUUAACUGCAAUCUGUAGUACUGCUAAAAACAUGGUUAUGAAAAGCUCAGUAGCAAAACAGAUUUUUGCUGUGCUGUUUGGAAGGGGUAACUGGUGCAACCUAUUGGCUCUAUGGCUCUAGAUCUAGCUCUGCUGCUACGUGGUUAUUAUUAGCUCACUCUCAGACUAUUUUGCUAUCUCCCAUGGCAGAAAAUGGCAGUGUGCCAUGGUGCUGAGGAAAACAAAACACAGCCCAGCCUGACUUGCCAGUGGCAGCAGCAAGCCAAGAACACCAGCUGGAAGUCAGGCUGACCAUCCAAAGCUGCCACGUGCAGCUCUGUACCCUUCCAGUGCACUGCUAGUCCUAGACCUCCCUGGGAACAUGUGGUUCUUACUUGGCCAGGUACUGUAUGAUUAAAGUCAGUGGGAUUUACAGCUCUGUAACUGCAGGCAGAAGCAGGCAUAGGAAGAGACUGAAAUUUAUCUGCUUUCCUUUACAGACGCUUACCAAAACUCAUAUAUUGUGAAUAAAACUGAGCCUGA